AUUGGAUUAACUAAUUGCUGAGGCUAAUAAUAAGCAGAUAAUAAAAACAAGGAUAAUUGAAUUAGUUUAACCACCAUACCAAUUAAAAACAACUCACACCAAUUCAAUGGUAACAAUACAAAUCCAACUUAAUCCGUUAAAGAAAGAUACAAAUGGAAAGUAAAAGUUUACAAGGAAAAGGUGGAAACAUUAUCAAUAACAAUGCCCCAUGAAGAUGAAAGCAGAUUGAAGUGGGAAGUUGACAAAGAAUUAGGAAAUUGUGAUGAAUCCGAAUGGAGAACAUAAGAAAAUGAUUAUUGUGAAUUGAGAUAAUAUUCAUUUCACAAUGAAUUGGGUAUCAAUAAUAUGGAAGAAUAAGAAGAUGAUAAAGAAUAAGAGAAAAUCAACUUGACUGAAUCAUUCUUAAGAUAAUCAUCUGAGCAUAUUUGGAAUUCUCGUCUUUUUAUAUAUAUAAUAUAAGAAUAUAAUUGUGGGUAACCAGAUAACUGAUGUUUAAUGGAUAGAGUGAAAAAUAAUGGGAAAAAAUGGAAACCAUGGAUUUCAUGUUCAUCCUGUCCAUUGAAUACUGAACAAGAGAUUAAUUUGAAUUUCAAAUAGAUUGUAAAAGGAAACCAAAAGGAGGAGAUAAAGAUGUGUGUAUGUUUAAACCAUGGCAACGAGAAUGAUGAUCACCAUGAUAAAGAUGAAGAUAAAGAGAUGAUAAAAAGGAGAAAGGAACAAGAGUUAACACUAAACUGAAUCUUUUUGCUUACAUUAGAUGAAGAGGAAAAAAGCAUAAGUAAAAAUUAUGAUUUUUUCUUCACAUGAAGUUUAUUUGUUAUCAAUAUAAUACCAACAACAAUCAACCCGCUAAUUCAAUUCAAUUGUGAUUGUCUGAUCAAUUUCAAACUCUCCAUCAAACUUUUGAUUGUUUCUUUAUCGUAUCCAAUACCAACGAUUGUGAUGGUUAUAAGAUGAUCAGGAAAAAGCAAAAUAAUACUCAGAGAAAUCAACUUACAAUCAACAAUUGGAAUUGUUGUCGAAAUGAUGAAAGGAAAAAGAUGAAAAUAAUUAUCUUGUUACAACAAUGAAUUACUUUGUUAAAUUGUUGAAAUUUUUCAUGACAAUGAUAAAGUAACAUGGUUAUCGUUGAAAAAUUACAUUCCUGUUGAAAAUCAGUAAUGAUCAUGAUCAACAAAUCUUAUUAUCGUUACAUUAAUGAUUGUAAUUGCUUUUUUUCAUAAACUGUAUUAAUAUAUUACCAAGAGGAUAUGAAAAAAAAGUAAAUUGCAAUCAUGAACCAUGAAGAUGAUGAUUUGUAAAAAAAUAACAGAUUAAGUUGCAACUGAAUUUAUCUGAACAUGAUUAAGAUAAAUAUUUACCCUGUUUCAACUGAAUCAAGUAAUCAAAGUGGUCAAUUGAUUGAUAAUAUUCAAUGUUUAUAUUUGUAUUAAUUUUGUUUUAUUUGCCAAUAUUACUAAUCACUAGUAAGUUGAUUAAUUAUCAAUCAAGUGAAAAACCCACUUAAACUAAAUGUAAUUAAAUAAUUUAAAACGUUCAUGUUGAUCUAUGUCAAUCAUUGGUAAAUAAAUACCACUGAAAUGAUUAACUAU